AACAAGGAUUCCCUUAGUAACUGCGAGUGAAGAGGGAAAAGCUCAAAUUUAAAAUCUGACAGUGUUUUGCUGUCCGAGUUGUAACCUAGAGAAGUGUAACCUGUGCUGGACCAUGUACAAGUCUCCUGGAAUGGAGCAUCGCAGAGGGUGAGAAUCCCGUSUUUGACAUGGACUACCAGUGCAUUGUGGUUGUGCUCUCAACGAGUCGAGUUGUUUGGGAAUGCAGCUCUAAAUGGGUGGUAAAUUCCAUCUAAAGCUAAAUAUUGGCGAGAGACCGAUAGCGAACAAGUACCGUGAGGGAAAGAUGAAAAGAACUUUGGAAAGAGAGUUAAACAGUAUGUGAAAUUGUUGAAAGGGAAACGUUUGAAGUCAGUCAUGUUGGGUGGGGAUCAGCCUGGCAGAUUGUUGGGUGUACUUCCUGGUUGACGGGCCAACAUCAGUUUUGACUGCCAGAGAAAGGCGAAGGGAAUGUGGCACCUUUGGGUGUGUUAUAGCUCUUUGUCGUAUGUGGUGGUUGGGACUGAGGAAAGCAGUGCGCCGAAAGGCAGGGUUUCGACCACAUUCGCACUGAGGAUGUUGGCAUAAUGGCUUUAAGCGACCCGUCUUGAAACACGGACCAAGGAGUCUAACAUGCAUGCGAGUGUUUGGGUGGAAAACUCUUACGCGGAAUGAAAGUGAAAGUUGAGAACCCUGUCGUGGGGAGCAUCGACGCCCGGACCAGAACUUUUGGGACGGAUCUGCGGUAGAGCACGUAUGUUGGGACCCGAAAGAUGGUGAACUAUGCCUGAAUAGGGUGAAGCCAGAGGAAACUCUGGUGGAGGCUCGUAGCGAUUCUGACGUGCAAAUCGAUCGUCAAAUUUGGGUAUAGGGGCGAAAGACUAA
rnacentral:rRNA from 2 species